rnacentral:rRNA from 1 species
CUUGCUCCCUGAUGUUAGCGGCGGACGGGUGAGUAACACGUGGGUAACCUGCCUGUAAGACUGGGAUAACUCCGGGAAACCGGGGCUAAUACCGGAUGCUUGAUUGAACCGCAUGGUUCAAUUAUAAAAGGUGGCUUUUAGCUACCACUUACAGAUGGACCCGCGGCGCAUUACCUAGUUGGUGAGGUAACGGCUCACCAAGGCAACAAUGCGUAGCCAACCUGAGAGGGUGAUCGGCCACACUGGGACUGAAACACGGCCCAAACUCCUACGGGAGGCAGCAGUAGGGAAUCUUCCGCAAUGGACGAAAGUCUGACGGAGCAACGCCGCGUGAGUGAUGAAGGUUUUCGGAUCGUAAAACUCUGUUGUUAGGGAAGAACAAGUACCGUUCGAAUAGGGCGGUACCUUGACGGUACCUAACCAGAAAGCCACGGCUAACUACGUGCCAGCAGCCGCGGUAAUACGUAGGUGGCAAGCGUUGUCCGGAAUUAUUGGGCGUAAAGCGCGCGCAGGCGGUUUCUUAAGUCUGAUGUGAAAGCCCCCGGCUCAACCGGGGAGGGUCAUUGGAAACUGGGGAACUUGAGUGCAGAAGAGGAGAGUGGAAUUCCACGUGUAGCGGUGAAAUGCGUAGAGAUGUGGAGGAACACCAGUGGCGAAGGCGACUCUCUGGUCUGUAACUGACGCUGAGGCGCGAAAGCGUGGGGAGCGAACAGGAUUAGAUACCCUGGUAGUCCACGCCGUAAACGAUGAGUGCUAAGUGUUAGAGGGUUUCCGCCCUUU